UACAGAGGGGGCAAGCGUUGUUCGGAAUUACUGGGCGUAAAGGGCGCGUAGGCGGCCUGUUAAGUCAGACGUGAAAUCCCCCGGCUCAACCGGGGAACUGCGUCUGAUACUGGCGGGCUUGAAUUCGGGAGAGGGAUGUGGAAUUCCAGGUGUAGCGGUGAAAUGCGUAGAUAUCUGGAGGAACACCGGUGGCGAAGGCGGCAUCCUGGACCGACAUUGACGCUGAGGCGCGAAAGCCAGGGGAGCAAACGGG
rnacentral:rRNA from 1 species